rnacentral:rRNA from 1 species
UACGUAGGGUGCGAGCGUUAAUCGGAAUUACUGGGCGUAAAGUGUGCGCAGGCGGCGUCGCAAGUCGAGUGUGAAAGCCCCCGGCUCAACUGGGGAGGGUCACUCGAUACUGAUCGACUCGAAGGCAGGAGAGGGAAGUGGAAUUCCCGGUGUAGUGGUGAAAUGCGUAGAGAUCCGGAGGAACACCAGUGGCGAAGGCGACACGCUGGGCCGUACCUGACACUGAUGCGCGACAGCAUGGGGAGCAAACAGG